UGCUAUACAUGCAAGUCGAGCGGACCGACGGGAGCUUGCUCCCUUAGGUCAGCGGCGGACGGGUGAGUAACACGUGGGUAACCUGCCUGUAAGACUGGGAUAACUCCGGGAAACCGGGGCUAAUACCGGAUGCUUGAUUGAACCGCAUGGUUCAAUCAUAAAAGGUGGCUUUUAGCUACCACUUACAGAUGGACCCGCGGCGCAUUAGCUAGUUGGUGAGGUAACGGCUCACCAAGGCGACGAUGCGUAGCCGACCUGAGAGGGUGAUCGGCCACACUGGGACUGAGACACGGCCCAGACUCCUACGGGAGGCAGCAGUAGGGAAUCUUCCGCAAUGGACGAAAGUCUGACGGAGCAACGCCGCGUGAGUGAUGAAGGUUUUCGGAUCGUAAAACUCUGUUGUUAGGGAAGAACAAGUACCGUUCGAAUAGGGCGGUACCUUGACGGUACCUAACCAGAAAGCCACGGCUAACUACGUGCCAGCAGCCGCGGUAAUACGUAGGUGGCAAGCGUUGUCCGGAAUUAUUGGGCGUAAAGCGCGCGCAGGCGGUUUCUUAAGUCUGAUGUGAAAGCCCCCGGCUCAACCGGGGAGGGUCAUUGGAAACUGGGGAACUUGAGUGCAGAAGAGGAGAGUGGAAUUCCACGUGUAGCGGUGAAAUGCGUAGAGAUGUGGAGGAACACCAGUGGCGAAGGCGACUCUCUGGUCUGUAACUGACGCUGAGGCGCGAAAGCGUGGGGAGCGAACAGGAUUAGAUACCCUGGUAGUCCACGCCGUAAACGAUGAGUGCUAAGUGUUAGAGGGUUUCCGCCCUUUAGUGCUGCAGCAAACGCAUUAAGCACUCCGCCUGGGGAGUACGGUCGCAAGACUGAAACUCAAAGGAAUUGACGGGGGCCCGCACAAGCGGUGGAGCAUGUGGUUUAAUUCGAAGCAACGCGAAGAACCUUACCAGGUCUUGACAUCCUCUGACAACCCUAGAGAUAGGGCUUCCCCUUCGGGGGCAGAGUGACAGGUGGUGCAUGGUUGUCGUCAGCUCGUGUCGUGAGAUGUUGGGUUAAGUCCCGCAACGAGCGCAACCCUUGAUCUUAGUUGCCAGCAUUCAGUUGGGCACUCUAAGGUGACUGCCGGUGACAAACCGGGAGAAGGUGGGGAUGACGUCAAAUCAUCAU
rnacentral:rRNA from 1 species